rnacentral:lncRNA from 1 species
AAGAGCAGCCCAAGGCCUACUUUCGGACUUCAUAUAAAAUAAAGGAAAGCUUUGCUAUUUAAAAGAACACUGCCAUCAUUGACAUAAAAAGCUUGCCAUACGUUGAUUUCAAGCAUUGGAUGUUUAACACAGUUGUGUGCUGGGGUUACAUGUCUUUCUGGGUGUUUGAAUGUAUAUAAACUUAAAAACAAUACCUUAGUAUUCAUUCAUGCAUAAACUACGGCAAAUAAGUUGAAUAGCACUGGUCCUAGAAACCUUUCCAUUAAGAGCUCUCACUGCAAUGCAGAAGCAUUAUUGAUAUGCUUUUGCCCAUUCCUGUACAUUUCUCUCCCCUAAACUACAUAA